AAAUAGAUUGCUGGAUUAUAUGGUAAGGGUAUGUUUAGUUUUUAAGGAACUGCCAAACUGUUUUUCAAAGUGGCUAUACCAUUUUACACUCCUACUAGCAAU
rnacentral:pre_miRNA from 1 species